ensembl:lncRNA
CGGGGCAUCCACAGCCUCUCUGGGCAGCUGUUCAGCACCUCGCCACUCUCAGAGUAAAGAACCUCCCCGAGUUCUCACACUCUGUACAGCCACACACCAUGCCCAGAGGUUUUAUCAAAGCAAAAACCCAGCUUGGCUUAAGGAACAGCAGGGCUGUUAACAAACUCCAUCAGCAGGUUCCAUGCGUGCUCUCCAGGAAGCAAACAUCACUGGGCUGACCCAAUACCUGCAUCAGACACUGCAGAACAGGGGAAGCACAUCAUACAGAAGGGGAUCGGAGUGCUAACACAGCCAAAUUCAUUCCCAUACAUUCACCCAGGCUCCUCCCUGCUCUCCAGCACGCGGUAGUGUUGUAGCACUAGGCACACAGCCUUGCACUGAUGGGCUCCAGAGAUCUCUUGGGUGGUGACACGGAACGGAGCGGAGGAGAAACAGGCAGCAAAUGUCAUCAUCUCAUAAGCCUCGUUUUAUCAGAAACAAAGCUAAGCCAGCCAUCAUUUACAGGCUUUGCGGGAUUAGGAGCUCAGAAAUCAGGGAGAUUCCUCCAGCUUGCCAUGAUUUACUGGCACAGCAGUGGGGUCACUGGCCCAGGGCACAAAGAGAUGCUUUCAGAGCAAACCCUUCGGAUGCUGUUUUACGGCAUGCAGAGCAGCAGCUGAAGGGGAAAAAAAAACACAAAAACGUUUUUACCCAAACAGUAAAGCAUUUUUGGAUUUCUGCAACACAUCCUAAAUUUAAACUCCUCGCUUAUGGUUCUGCUGGCACUACUGUUCAGCACAGAAUACAAAUUUAAACGAAAAUUUGACCAGAAGAGCACAAAAGAGGAGAACCUUGCAUCAAAACCUGAUCACACAUUGACAAGAACAAACAUCAAUUAGGCGCUGCCUCCACCGUCUUCCAGGCAGCUGUAUGAUAUGUAUGGAAGCAGACAAUCCGCAAUCAUCUCAGCUUUCUGACUUGGUGGCUGUGCUGCCAAAAGCUAUUAGCAGCAAUCUUGGCGUAACACAGUCAGAAUGCAACGCUCCAUACAUCGCACGCUGAGGCUUCAGACAAAUUUGAGCUGUUUAUUUAUAAGACAUAAUCUUCGGGGUCCUGCAGCGUCCUGGCACUCUGCUCUCCUCCCAGGUUGUGAUGGUGACAAUGGCUUUAAUACGCAAUCAGUGCUGUUUGUGCCCAUUGGAACACAGGCGGACUGCGCGAUGCCUUUGUGUGGAUGCUGAAACCCAGAGCUCUUUGCUGUGUGAUGCUGUGAGGACUUCCAGCUGGGAAAACUUUUAGCACUUCAAGAAGCACACUGGUGCAAAAGCGGGAGCCCUAAAAGCACAGUGCCCUUAAGAGCACAAAGCCCAUCUGUGACUCCACGAGUGCCUGAGCCCACUAAUCACAGGCAGAUCACUGCCACAGCUGCUGCCCACUUUGCUCUGAUCCAAAACAGCUGUUUUAAUGCUCUAAAGCACGAGGGAAAAAGUUCAUUGCCACAUUUGUGUGCACUAGCAACAGAACAGCCCAAUCCCCAAUGCCACGUCUCGUCCUUGUGCCAUACUGGGACAUUUGUAUCUGACACCUUUGAACUUGCUUACAAACAUUAAAUAAAAGCAUUACAUUCAAAAAUGCUUCAAGAACUCUCCCAUAAUCGUGGUUAACCCCAUAAGCUUAGGAAAAUGCUCAACUCUAAGCAAAAACUAUAUGGCACUACAGGCCACCUAUAAAAAGGCCUCUGUAGGAAGGGGUAGGAGCAGCAAAUGUUUAAGUCAAAGCCAAACGAGACACUCCAAAAGGUUGGUCACUUGAAUAGCCAUGCGUUUAAGUGGAAUAUAAACCCGGCAGAAGGACUGGGCAGCCUUCCAACAGAACCAGAACACAGCUCACUGUGGGAGAACAGCAGGACGCCCACCAGAGUAAAGCCAGCUCACAGCUAGGUGGUAACGUCCCACUGCUGAGAAACCUCACACCUCCAACCUUAUACCUGCAAUGGAGCCACCUGAAUUGGUGCAGAAGUCUGCAACCGAUGGCUUUGUUUACUGCCAUGGUAGAACACCACCCUGGGAAGGAAAUGAAACAAAAAUAAGACAGUUUGCAUUAUGAGAGGUAGAACCUACUUUCCAUGACCCAUUAACAAAACUCCACUCUUCCUAAUGCCAUCUUACACCAGUAGCGCUGCUCUGCUUGCAGUUCUGCUGCUCCUCACUCACUGCAUCCCCUUUUAUUCCGUGUGUAAGGGCUCCAGAGGUCCGUGCUGCAGGCUGAGGGGCUGGAUGCUGCUAAGCAGAUGUCAUUACUCCCUUCGUUUUUCUCUUGAGAGAUUUUUUUCCAACUUUAAUCCUCUCUUACGACUUCAGGAUUUGUUUUUCCAAGCAAUAGUGCAGAGUACAUUUUUAUUUCUAGCACUUGCUAGUAAUGAAAUACGGAUUAUUUGUCUUAAAUCCAUGAAUUCAUCAGCUAUACAGCAGUUGGAUCAAGCAACAAGCAUUACUGAUCUGUGUCCGAUGGCAUGAUUCCUGCAAAACAAAACAAGCACACGAAAACAAUAGCGUAGGACACAGCAAUACUGAGCGUAAAAUCCCUUAUUAGCUGUAUCAAAAUCGGUAACCAGGCACCAAAAUGAGCUUUAACA